rnacentral:rRNA from 1 species
UUUGGCGGCUAUACCGGGAGUGAUCACCCGUUCCCAUUCCGAACACGGAAGUUAAGCCUCCCAGGGCCGAUGGUACUGCGCUGGCGACGGCGUGGGAGAGUAGGUCGCCGCCGAGC